GCCGGGCGUGGUGGCGUGCGCCUGUAGUCCCAGCUAGGGAGGCUGAGGCAGGAGAAUCUCUUGAACCCGGGAAGUGGAGGCUGCAGGGAGCCCUGAUCUCACCACUGCACUCCAGCCUGGGUGACAGAGCGAGACCCUGUCUCAA
rnacentral:SRP_RNA from 2 species